rnacentral:rRNA from 1 species
GAUGAACGCUAGCGGCAGGCUUAACACAUGCAAGUCGAGGGGUAUUGGUUUUCGGACCAAGAGACCGGCGCACGGGUGCGUAACGCGUAUGCAAUCUACCUUUUGCAGAGGGAUAGCCCAGAGAAAUUUGGAUUAAUACCUCAUAGUAUAGUACCUUGGCAUCAAGGAGCUAUUAAAGUCACAACGGCAAAAGAUGAGCAUGCGUCCCAUUAGCUAGUUGGUAAGGUAACGGCUUACCAAGGCGACGAUGGGUAGGGGUCCUGAGAGGGAGAUCCCCCACACUGGUACUGAGACACGGACCAGACUCCUACGGGAGGCAGCAGUGAGGAAUAUUGGACAAUGGGCGCAAGCCUGAUCCAGCCAUGCCGCGUGCAGGAUGACGGUCCUAUGGAUUGUAAACUGCUUUUAUACAGGAAGAAACACUGGUUCGUGAACCAGCUUGACGGUACUGUAAGAAUAAGGAUCGGCUAACUCCGUGCCAGCAGCCG